UCUUCAUGCAGGAACCACAUUG
rnacentral:miRNA from 1 species